AUUGAACGCUGGCGGCAGGCCUAACACAUGCAAGUCGAGCGGCAGCGGAAAGUAGCUUGCUACUUUGCCGGCGAGCGGCGGACGGGUGAGUAAUGUCUGGGAAACUGCCUGAUGGAGGGGGAUAACUACUGGAAACGGUGGCUAAUACCGCAUAACGUCGCAAGACCAAAGUGGGGGACCUUCGGGCCUCACGCCAUCGGAUGUGCCCAGAUGGGAUUAGCUAGUAGGUGGGGUAAUGGCUCACCUAGGCGACGAUCCCUAGCUGGUCUGAGAGGAUGACCAGCCACACUGGAACUGAGACACGGUCCAGACUCCUACGGGAGGCAGCAGUGGGGAAUAUUGCACAAUGGGCGCAAGCCUGAUGCAGCCAUGCCGCGUGUGUGAAGAAGGCCUUCGGGUUGUAAAGCACUUUCAGCGAGGAGGAAGGCAUCACACUUAAUACGUGUGGUGAUUGACGUUACUCGCAGAAGAAGCACCGGCUAACUCCGUGCCAGCAGCCGCGGUAAUACGGAGGGUGCAAGCGUUAAUCGGAAUUACUGGGCGUAAAGCGCACGCAGGCGGUUUGUUAAGUCAGAUGUGAAAUCCCCGCGCUUAACGUGGGAACUGCAUUUGAAACUGGCAAGCUAGANUCUUGUAGAGGGGGGUAGAAUUCC
rnacentral:rRNA from 1 species